GCGAUGGGUAACGAUGCUUUGAGGGUGGCUGUUGUCUAUGUGUGCAGAGGGUCCCUGGUUCUAGCCCAGGUAGGGGUGAGGAGAGGGACGGAAGCUAUACUGUUACAUUAAUGCCGUUGACCCGGAUCACUGGUUGCUGCGGAAAAGGAGGAGGUCAAAAGGAUAACCGAUGUGAAAUGACUAGCGUUGUGCGCGCUAAUUGUGUUUCAAUCGGUGACUUCACUCUCUCUGAGACCUUGAAGUAGUUGUUCCCCUUGCUCUGUUGUUGAUGUAUGCAGAGGGUCCCUGGUUCGAGCCCUGGAAUGGGCGAUGAGAGGGACGGAAGCUAUACUGUUACACGGGGGGCUGCCUUAAUCGACAUCCAUGUCAUUGGAUGUCAAAGAAACAAACACAUCAAGAAAAAGUUACUGUGAUGAUGUGACGUGCACAAAGACGUUGAAAACUUGGGGAGCCAAAUGAAACCACUCCUGGGCCAAAUUUGGCCUGUGGGCCGCCAGUUGGGAAACCCUGGCUUACGAGGUAAGGAAACCGAUAACUAUCCCUUUGACAUGUUCCCUGUAGACUUACAGUUCAUGAGUCUAUACAAUUCCACUGAAAAUGCAUAGUCAGCCUUCACUCGCUUUAGGAACAUAGGAAUAUAUAGUAAAAAAUACUUUCGAAAUAUGACAAUAAAGGUUAUUUGAAUGACACCUCUUUUCUAUUAGGAUCCUUGCAUAGGAAAAUUAAGAAAGUAUUCACGCACACACAUUCACACGCCAGGGACUGCAAAAUAAAGCUUAGUUAGUUAGUUAGUUCGUUAGUUACUACCUACUUACUUACCUUUAUCGAAUCCCAUUGGGAAAAGGGUCUUGUUUUCCUAUUCAACAAGCAUGACAUUAUUGCAUUUAUGAUUUAUCACAAGGCAAAAAACAGCACAGUGGUUUACGUACACAUUACAGUCCACUCCGAAUGAGCACUAGGGGGACCCAGCCUCAAGCCAUGCAACUCCAAUCCGGCAUAACUGAAGAGGGUGUGGCAGUCUAGGUGCAAACGGGCAGGCGUACUUGGACCCAUCCAAUUGUUUUUAUGGGAUGCUAAAAUCGUUGCCCUAGUGUUGACUAAACUUCAGACACAGAUGUAGGUGGCAGGAAGAUGCCUGUAGCGGAAUUAUGCAACCCAUAUCGCCACGCCCUUAGGAUUAUUCGGAACAGCAGCCCCAUACAACUCGAGGUCAACCUCUCUCUUUCUAAAGAGGGUCUGUUUCUUCUCAGCGGCUAAUCGUUGUCUUCUGCCCCUCCAACCCUCACCCACUCAUCGCAUGUACGUGUUUAUCUCAGCACAUUCCAAUCUUUAUGUGUCGCAUUUGAAGACCGACGCACACAAACCAAAACAUCUCUCGUCUCUGGAGGCUGCGGGUCGAGAGGG
ensembl:lncRNA